rnacentral:misc_RNA from 1 species
GAAAUGCGAUAAGUAAUGUGAAUUGCAGAAUUCAGUGAAUCAUCGAAUCUUUGAACGCACCUUGCGCUCCUUGGUAUUCCUUGGAGCAUGCCUGUUUGAGUAUUAUGAAAUCUUCAAAGUAAAUCUUUUGUUAACUCAAUUGGCUUCUACUUUGGUAUUGGAGGUCUUUGCAGCUUCACACCUGCUCCUCUUUGUUCAUUAGCUGGAUCUCAGUGUUAUGCUUGGUUCCACUCGGCGUGAUAAGUUAUCUAUCGCUGAGGACACUGUAAAAGGUGGCCAAGGUAAAUGCAGAUGAACCGCUUCUAAUAGUCCAUUGACUUGGACAAUACUUUUAUGAUCUGAUCUCAAAUCAGGUAGGACUACCCGCUGAACUUAAGC